rnacentral:rRNA from 1 species
GGGUUGUGAGGUUAAGCGACUAAGCGUACACGGUGGAUGCCCUGGCAGUCAGAGGCGAUGAAGGACGUGCUAAUCUGCGAAAAGCGUCGGUAAGGUGAUAUGAACCGUUAUAACCGGCGAUGUCCGAAUGGGGAAACCCAGUGCAAUUCGUUGCACUAUCGUUAACUGAAUACAUAGGUUAACGAGGCGAACCGGGGGAACUGAAACAUCUAAGUACCCCGAGGAAAAGAAAUCAACCGAGAUUCCCCCAGUAGCGGCGAGCGAACGGGGAGCAGCCCAGAGUCUGAAUCAGCUUGUGUGUUAGUGGAACGGUCUGGAAAGUCCGACGGUACAGGGUGAUAGUCCCGUACACCAAAAUGCACAGGUUGUGAACUCGAAGAGUAGGGCGGGACACGUGGUAUCCUGUCUGAAUAUGGGGGGACCAUCCUCCAAGGCUAAAUACUCCUGACUGACCGAUAGUGAACCAGUACCGUGAGGGAAAGGCGAAAAGAACCCCGGCGAGGGGAGUGAAAAAGAACCUGAAACCGUGUACGUACAAGCAGUGGGAGCACCUUCGGGUGUGACUGCGUACCUUUUGUAUAAUGGGUCAGCGACUUAUAUUCUGUAGCAAGGUUAACCGUAUAGGGGAGCCGCAGGGAAACCGAGUCUUAACUGGGCGUUAAGUUGCAGGGUAUAGACCCGAAACCCGGUGAUCUAGCCAUGGGCAGGUUGAAGGUUGGGUAACACUAACUGGAGGACCGAACCGACUAAUGUUGAAAAAUUAGCGGAUGACUUGUGGCUGGGGGUGAAAGGCCAAUCAAACCGGGAGAUAGCUGGUUCUCCCCGAAAGCUAUUUAGGUAGCGCCUCGUGAAUUCAUCUUCGGGGGUAGAGCACUGUUUCGGCUAGGGGGUCAUCCCGACUUACCAACCCGAUGCAAACUACGAAUACCGAAGAAUGUUAUCACGGGAGACACACGGCGGGUGCUAACGUCCGUCGUGAAGAGGGAAACAACCCAGACCGCCAGCUAAGGUCCCAAAGUCAUGGUUAAGUGGGAAACGAUGUGGGAAGGCACAGACAGCCAGGAUGUUGGCUUAGAAGCAGCCAUCAUUUAAAGAAAGCGUAAUAGCUCACUGGUCGAGUCGGCCUGCGCGGAAGAUGUAACGGGGCUAAACCAUGCACCGAAGCUGCGGCAGCGACACUAUGUGUUGUUGGGUAGGGGAGCGUUCUGUAAGCCUGCGAAGGUGACCUGUGAGGGUUGCUGGAGGUAUCAGAAGUGCGAAUGCUGACAUAAGUAACGAUAAAGCGGGUGAAAAGCCCGCUCGCCGGAAGACCAAGGGUUCCUGUCCAACGUUAAUCGGGGCAGGGUGAGUCGACCCCUAAGGCGAGGCCGAAAGGCGUAGUCGAUGGGAAACAGGUUAAUAUUCCUGUACUUGGUGUUACUGCGAAGGGGGGACGGAGAAGGCUAUGUUAGCCGGGCGACGGUUGUCCCGGUUUAAGCAUGUAGGCUGGUUAUCCAGGCAAAUCCGGAUAAUCAAGGCUGAGGUGUGAUGACGAGGCACUACGGUGCUGAAGUAACAAAUGCCCUGCUUCCAGGAAAAGCCUCUAAGCAUCAGGUAACAUUAAAUCGUACCCCAAACCGACACAGGUGGUCAGGUAGAGAAUACCAAGGCGCUUGAGAGAACUCGGGUGAAGGAACUAGGCAAAAUGGUGCCGUAACUUCGGGAGAAGGCACGCUGGUGUGUAGGUGAAGUCCCUGCGGAUGGAGCUGAGACCAGUCGAAGAUACCAGCUGGCUGCAACUGUUUAUUAAAAACACAGCACUGUGCAAACACGAAAGUGGACGUAUACGGUGUGACGCCUGCCCGGUGCCGGAAGGUUAAUUGAUGGGGUUAUCCGUAAGGAGAAGCUCUUGAUCGAAGCCCCGGUAAACGGCGGCCGUAACUAUAACGGUCCUAAGGUAGCGAAAUUCCUUGUCGGGUAAGUUCCGACCUGCACGAAUGGCGUAAUGAUGGCCAGGCUGUCUCCACCCGAGACUCAGUGAAAUUGAACUCGCUGUGAAGAUGCAGUGUACCCGCGGCAAGACGGAAAGACCCCGUGAACCUUUACUAUAGCUUGACACUGAACAUUGAGCCUUGAUGUGUAGGAUAGGUGGGAGGCUUUGAAGCGUGGACGCCAGUCUGCGUGGAGCCAACCUUGAAAUACCACCCUUUAAUGUUUGAUGUUCUAACGUUGGCCCCUUACCGGGGUUGCGGACAGUGUCUGGUGGGUAGUUUGACUGGGGCGGUCUCCUCCCAAAGCGUAACGGAGGAGCACGAAGGUUAGCUAAUCCUGGUCGGACAUCAGGAGGUUAGUGCAAUGGCAUAAGCUAGCUUGACUGCGAGCGUGACGGCGCGAGCAGGUGCGAAAGCAGGUCAUAGUGAUCCGGUGGUUCUGAAUGGAAGGGCCAUCGCUCAACGGAUAAAAGGUACUCCGGGGAUAACAGGCUGAUACCGCCCAAGAGUUCAUAUCGACGGCGGUGUUUGGCACCUCGAUGUCGGCUCAUCACAUCCUGGGGCUGAAGUAGGUCCCAAGGGUAUGGCUGUUCGCCAUUUAAAGUGGUACGCGAGCUGGGUUUAGAACGUCGUGAGACAGUUCGGUCCCUAUCUGCCGUGGGCGCUGGAGAAUUGAGGGGGGCUGCUCCUAGUACGAGAGGACCGGAGUGGACGCAUCACUGGUGUUCGGGUUGUCAUGCCAAUGGCACUGCCCGGUAGCUAAAUGCGGAAGAGAUAAGUGCUGAAAGCAUCUAAGCACGAAACUUGCCCCGAGAUGAGUUCUCCCUGAGACUUUAAGUCUCCUGAAGGAACGUUAAAGACGAUGACGUUGAUAGGCCGGGUGUGUAAGCGCAGCGAUGCGUUGAGCUAACCGGUACUAAUGAACCGUGAGGCUUAACCUUACAACGCCGAAG